UACGGGGGGGCAAGCGUUGUUCGGAAUUACUGGCGUAAAGGGCUCGUAGGUGGCCAACUAAGUCAGACGUGAAAUCCCUCAGCUUAACUGGGGAACUGCGUCUGAUACUGGAUGGCUUGAGUUUGGGAGAGGGAUGCGGGAAUUCCAGGUGUAGCGGUGAAAUGCGUAGAUAUCUGGAGGAACACCGGUGGCGAAGGCGGCAUCCUGGGACCAACACUGACGCUGACUGCGCGAAAGCCCAGGGGAGCCAAACGGGG
rnacentral:rRNA from 1 species